UGAGGAAUAUUGGUCAAUGGGCGAGAGCCUGAAACCAGCCAAGUCGCGUGAGGGAAGACGGUCCUAAUGGAUUUGUAAAACCCUCUUUUGCCGGGGGAGCAAAGAGCGGCACGUGUGCCGCGCCGAGAGUACCCGGAGAAAAAGCAUCGGCUAACUCCGUGCC
rnacentral:rRNA from 1 species